GUGCACGCUGGCGGUAGGCUAACACAUGCAAGUCGCACGGCAGCACAGUAAGAGCUUGCUCUUACGGGUGGCGAGUGGCGGACGGGUGAGGAAUACAUCGGAAUCUACUUUUUCGUGGGGGAUAACGUAGGGAAACUUACGCUAAUACCGCAUACGACCUACGGGUGAAAGCAGGGGAUCUUCGGACCUUGCGCGAUUGAAUGAGCCGAUGUCGGAUUAGCUAGUUGGCGGGGUAAAGGCCCACCAAGGCGACGAUCCGUAGCUGGUCUGAGAGGAUGAUCAGCCACACUGGAACUGAGGCACGGUCCAGACUCCUACGGGAGGCAGCAGUGGGGAAUAUUGGACAAUGGGCGCAAGCCUGAUCCAGCCAUACCGCGUGGGUGAAGAAGGCCUUCGGGUUGUAAAGCCCUUUUGUUGGGAAAGAAAAGCAGCAGGUUAAUACCCCGCUGUUCUGACGGUACCCAAAGAAUAAGCACCGGCUAACUUCGUG
rnacentral:rRNA from 1 species